rnacentral:tmRNA from 1 species
GGGCCUGUAUUGGUUUCGACGGGAUGUUUGAAUAAUGAUAAGCAUGUCGUGGUUAUGCACGUUAAAACAUGAGGUUUUAAAUAACCGGAAACUCAAAUUACGCUUACUGCUAGCAUAUAAGCAGACUCAUUCCUUUUCUUUUUUGCCUACGAAGAAGUCAAGGGAUACGUACAGUAGGCUUUGAUGAAAUAUAUCUGCUCAAUAUAUGAUUCAAGAUUUAGAGCUAGAAUUAUGAAGUUUUGUUUAUUUACUUGAUAGUUUGAAAAUAUAAAUAUACUAAACAUGUAGAAAAUCAUUGGGAUAGUAUUUCGGACAGGAGUUCAACUCUCCUCAGGUCCACCA